GCGACCCCAGGUCAGGCAGGACUACCCGCUGAGUUUAAGCAUAUAAAUAAGCGGAGGAGAAGAAACUUACAAGGAUUCCCCUAGUAACGGCGAGCGAACCGGGAGCAGCCCAGCUUGAGAAUCGGGCGGCUGUGCCGUCCGAAUUGUAGUCUGGAGAGGCAUCCUCAGCGACGGACCGGGCCCAAGUCCCCUGGAAAGGGGCGCCUGGGAGGGUGAGAGCCCUGUCCGGCCCGGACCCUGUCGCCCCACGAGGCGCCGUCAAUGAGUCGGGUUGUUUGGGAAUGCAGCCCAAAUCGGGCGGUAGACUCCGUCCAAGGCUAAAUACAGGCGAGAGACCGAUAGCGAACAAGUACCGCGAGGGAAAGAUGAAAAGGACUUUGAAAAGAGAGUCAAAGAGUGCUUGAAAUUGCCGGGAGGGAAGCAGAUGGGGGCUGGCGAUGCGCCCCGGCCGUAUGCGGAACGGCUCUUGCUGGUCCGCCGCUCGGCUCGGGGUGUGGACUGUUGUCGGCCGCGCCGGCGGCCAAAGGCCGGGGGCCCUAGGUGCCCCCGGUGGCCGUCGUCGGCACGGCCGGUACCCGCGCGCCGAAAGGCGUGUCCCUCGGGGAACUGCGCUGCAACGGCCUGCGGGCUCCCCAUCCGACCCGUCUUGAAACACGGACCAAGGAGUAUGAUAUGCGUGCGAGUCGACGGGUUCUGAAACCUGGGAUGCGCAAGGAAGCUGACGAGCGGGAGGCCCUCACGGGCCGCACCGCUGGCCGACCCUGAUCUUCUGUGAAGGGUUCGAGUUGGAGCACGCCUGUCGGGACCCGAAAGAUGUUGAACUAUGCCUGAGCGGGGCGAAGCCAGAGGAAACUCUGGUGGAGGCUCGAAGCGAUACUGACGUGCAAAUCGUUCGUCUGACUUGGGUAUAGGGGCGAAAGACUAAUCGAACCAUCUAGUAGCUAGUUCCCUCCGAAGUUUCCCUCAGGAUAGCUGGAGCCCAUUACGAGUUCUAUCAGGUAAAGCCAAUGAUUAGAGGCAUUGGGGACGCAACAUCCUCGACCUAUUCUCAAACUUUAAAUAGGUAGGAUGGCGCGGCUGCUUCGGUGAGCCGUGCCAUGGAAUCGGGUGCUCCAAGUGGGCCAUUUUUGGUAAGCAGAACUGGCGAUGCGGGAUGAACCGGAAGCCGGGUUACGGUGCCCAACUGCGCGCUAACCUAGAACCCACAAAGGGUGUUGGUCGAUUAAGACAGCAGGACGGUGGUCAUGGAAGUCGAAAUCCGCUAAGGAGUGUGUAACAACUCACCUGCCGAAUCAACUAGCCCCAAAAAUGGAUGGCGCUGAAGCGCGCGACCCACACCCGGCCAUCUGGGCGAGCGCCAUGCCCCGAUGAGUAGGAGGGCGCGGCGGCCGCUGCAAAACCCGGGGCGCGAGCCCGGGCGGAGCGGCCGUCGGUGCAGAUCUUGGUGGUAGUAGCAAAUAUUCAAAUGAGAACUUUGAAGGCCGAAGAGGAGAAAGGUUCCAUGUGAACGACACUUGCACAUGGGUAAGCCGAUCCUAAGGGACGGGGUAACCCCGGCAGAUAGCACAUUCACGCGCAUCCCCCGAAAGGGAAUCGGGUUAAGAUUUCCCGAGCCGGGAUGUGGCGGUUGACGGCGACGAUAGGAAGUCCGGAGACGCCGGCGGGGGCCUCGGGAAGAGUUAUCUUUUCUGCUUAACGGCCUGCCAACCCUGGAAACGGUUCAGCCGGAGGUAGGGUCCAGUGGCCGGAAGAGCACCGCACGUCGCGUACACGGACCCGUACACGGACCCGUGAACGGGUACGAGAGUCCGGGAAAAAAUGGCCCAUACACCAUGCGAACCGGCUCAAAACUAGCUAAUGAUGGUCAACAAACGGUGCCAUGGCAGCGAAAACAUGUCUCAUGGCAAAAAAACGCUGCCACGGCAGCGUUUAAAAACAGUGUACCCCUCCUUCACAAACUAAGGGCAGGGGUCCCAAUGGGGGCUAAAACCCUCGGGUAUAGUAGGGAGGAGGGGUCCUUCCUGGUGGGCGUACGGAACACGGGUGAUUUUUCUUAGGGAAAACACCCGUGUUCACGUACGCCCAUCCUUUCCCAACGUUGCCUCGGAUGUCCCGUCGUUAUGCAAUCACGAAGGUGUUGGCCCGGCCCCGUGUAUGUCUCGUGAGAAAUUCUGACCCAACAGCCGAAGGUGGCUCGGGAAACAGGAAAGUACCCCGUUGCGUACACGAUCCGACCGACGGUAAACAGUCACAACGAUGUCCCUCCAAUGUCGCCUCCGGAAAAACGUUGCCCCUCGGUGGCAACGUCAUCGCUGUCCCGGUCCCCUGUACGUCUCAAGUGAAAUUCUGACCCAACAGCCGAAUGCGGCUCGGGAAACAGGAAAGUAGCCUGUUUCGUGCACGAUAAGACCGUCCGACAACGUUGCACCGAUGUCCCGAUAAAGUUGCCUUCGGAAAAUCGUUGCAUCCGUAGCUUUAUUGCUGCUGGUGUGACACGCGUGAUUUGGCCUUGCAGGACGCCUUCGUGCAAGUGAUCCUCCCGUGCUCUGCACGGGCGGAGGCUUGGUUGGUUUGACCGCUUGUUGGCUACUAAGCGCAUGAGUAGCUUUGGACCCGUGUCUGCCGGUAGAUCCCCCGUUGUACUGCGGCCGACUACCGGCGCCGUGUCCCGUCCCUCGUGUGGCUUCGAAUCGCUGGAUUAAGAGUGCUUGCGUGCUAGCACCUGACCUACGGGAAGUGGUGCUUCGGAUAAUUGUUGCCUCGCGGCGGACGCCCAUUGGGUGUGCCGCUGCGGCCAAAUAGCGCUUGCGGCGUGCCUCGUGGGGCUGGCACAUUACGUGCCCGUUGCUAUCAAGGCAACCUCGCUCCCGCUUUUGGUCUCGGAUGCUACUGACGAUAAAGGGUCGUGGCCCUUUCGGUUGCCUCGACCCGACCCAAAGCUCUCGGAACUGAGAACAACCGGAACAGGAGUUGCCUCUACCUCUCCACAGUUACGUGGUAGGAUACGCAACUCUCUGCGCCGAUCCUCAAGGAUGAUGAGCUGUGCCGCUCAAGAGCGACGACCGGCCCGGCUGUUGCCUCUGAGUUUCCACGGAAGUGGAAGCGCAGAACGAUGGCCGUGCUGGUAGUCACCAAGGACGUGCUACCUGGUUGAUCCUGCCAGUAGUCAUAUGCUUGUCUCAAAGAUUAAGCCAUGCAUGUGCAAGUAUGAACCAAUUUGAACUGUGAAACUGCGAAUGGCUCAUUAAAUCAGUUAUAGUUUGU
rnacentral:rRNA from 1 species